UGGGGAAUAUUGCACAAUGGGCGCAAGCCUGAUGCAGCCAUGCCGCGUGUAUGAAGAAGGCCUUCGGGUUGUAAAGUACUUUCAGUCGGGAGGAAGGUGGUAAGGUUAAUAACCUUAUCAAUUGACGUUACCGACAGAAGAAGCACCGGCUAACUCCGUGCCAGCAGCCGCGGUAAUACGGAGGGUGCAAGCGUUAAUCGGAAUUACUGGGCGUAAAGCGCACGCAGGCGGUUGAUUGAGUCAGAUGUGAAAUCCCCGGGCUUAACCCGGGAAUUGCAUCUGAUACUGUUCAGCUAGAGUCUUGUAGAGGGGGGUAGAAUUCCAUGUGUAGCGGUGAAAUGCGUAGAGAUGUGGGGGAAUACCGGUGGCGAAGGCGGCCCCCUGGACAAAGACUGACGCUCAGGUGCGAAAGCGUGGGGAGCAAACAGG
rnacentral:rRNA from 1 species